GUACUUGCUUCGGCAGCACAUAUACUGAAUUUAGACCAAUACAGAGAAGAUUAGCAUGGUCCCUGCACAGGAUGACAAGCAAAUUCGUGAAGCAUUCCAUAUUUUU